rnacentral:ncRNA from 1 species
UAUCAGUUGCCACCGGGUAACAGCGUUUAACGCAUGGUUCUGUAUCGUUAGGUCUUUGAAGAUACAGAAAUCAGGCGUUUUUCUUUU